rnacentral:rRNA from 1 species
UGCUUACCAUGCAAAUCUAUGUAUGAAAUGUAAGCUUGCUUACAUAGACUACAUGGUGGACUGGUGAGUAACGUGUAAAGAACUUACCUCUUAGACUGGGAUAACCAUUAGAAAUGAUGGAUAAUACUAGAUAUUAUUAGUAGUAGGCAUCUACUAUUAAUGAAAGGAGAGAUUGCUAAGAGAGAGCUUUGCAUCCUAUUAGCUAGUUGGUGGGGUAAAGGCCUACCAAGGCUAUGAUAGGUAGCCGGCCCGAGAGGGUGAACGGCCACAAGGGGACUGAGAUACGGCCCUUACUCCUACGGGAGGCAGCAGUGGGGAAUAUUGGACAAUGGAGGAAACUCUGAUCCAGCAAUUCUGUGUGCACGAAGAAGGUUUUCGGAUUGUAAAGUGCUUUCAGUAGGGAAGAAGAAGAUGACGGUACCUACAGAAGAAGCGACGGCUAAAUACGUGCCA